rnacentral:rRNA from 1 species
AAACCGUUCAGGGGUAAACCUGAGAAACCCGAAAAUUCGAAAGGAGAGAUUCACCGCGACACGCUCUCGUCGACGCGUCUACGUCGUACGGACGUCGAUCGGAGGGUCCCGGGGGGUUCGUUAGCGGACGGUCGGUCGUCAGAUCGGUCGUUUCGCGCGUUCCUCUCCGUCUCUUCGGUCGGUGCCGGACGCGUACCGUCAAGACGUGCGUUCGCGUGCACUUCUCUCCCUGUAGGACGUCGCGACCCGCCGGGUGUCGGUCUACGAGCGACGGUGGCAGAUCGUGGAGCUUACGGACGGUCUCGUCGAUUUCGGCGAUUUCGUUUCGUAUCUACGCGACCCCGUCGUCGUUGAUCUUGGCCGACUCUUUCGCUCGGCGGUAGUCGAACGUUGGGCACGGAGCAGCGACAAUCUAGUUUGCGUCCGACCCGUCGCAAGCUCGGUACGGUAAUUCGGCGUUCUCGGCGGCCUUAGCGUCUCCGGACCCGGAUCCGGACCACUGUUGGCGACGGUCGUCUCGGGCAGACUCCGUCCCGUCGGCGACGAAAUCGUUUUGGGUACUUUCAGGGCCCGUCUUGAAACACGGACCAAGGAGUCUAGCAUGCACGCGAGUCAAAGGGACCGAACUGAUUAACGAACGAACUAAUCCCUAAGGCGUAAUAAAAGUGAAGGUCGCGUCUUCGUGCGCGACCUGGGGAAGAUGAGAAGUCUAUCGAACGACUACUCCGCAUUCCCGGGGCGUCUCAACGGUCUCCGUACGGCUUGCCGUGCGAAGAUCGAGGCGCACUUCGAGCGUGUACGCU